rnacentral:rRNA from 1 species
UAGAGAGAGACAUGCGCGCAUAUCAAUAAGCGGAGGAAAAGAAACUAACAAGGAUUCCCCUAGUAACGGCGAGUGAAGCGGGAAGAGCUCAAAUUUGAAAUCUUAAAGGUUUCCCUUUACGAAUUGUAGUUUAAAGAAGUGUUUUCUGUUGAGGUUUUGGUAAAAGUUCUUUGGAAUAGGACAUCAUAGAGGGUGAGAAUCCCGUAUUUGACCUUUACUUUCAACUUUGUGAUACACUUUCAAAGAGUCGGAUUGUUUGGGAAUGCAGUCCAAAAUGGGUGGUAAAUUUCAUCUAAAGCUAAAUAUUGGCGAGAGACCGAUAGCGAACAAGUACCGUGAGGGAAAGAUGAAAAGAACUUUGAAAAGAGAGUUAAACAGUACGUGAAAUUGUCAAAAGGGAAGCGUUUGACACCAGUGUUGUUUUUCUGAAAAUCAAUUAAAGAACUGUUUAUGCUAAGUUGUUUAGACUUUAUCAGCUAUCUGUUUAGUUUUGAGCUUUUCUUUAAUGCACUUUUCAGUUAACAAGUCAACAUCAAUUUCUUUUGCUAGUAAAAAAGCUUGAGGAAGGUGGCUUGAGAUUCGUCUUAAGUGUUUAUAGCCUCUUGCCUAUGCAGUCGGAGAGAUUGAGGUCUGCAGCGUAGAUCCUUCGGGGCUAAAUGCAUUUGUGCUAAGUUAUAGCAUUUUAUAGACAACUUGUUGACUAUGAUUUGUCUUGUAGCUUACUCGCUUAUGUUAUUUUACCUACGCUUAGGAUGUUGACGCAUGAGAUAUACGC